rnacentral:rRNA from 1 species
AACGAACGCUGGCGGCAGGCUUAACACAUGCAAGUCGAGCGCCCCGCAAGGGGAGCGGCAGACGGGUGAGUAACGCGUGGGAAUCUACCCAUCUCUACAGAAUAACGCAUGGAAACGUGUGCUAAUACCGUAUACGUCCUUCGGGAGAAAGAUUUAUCGGAGAUGGAUGAGCCCGCGUUGGAUUAGCUAGUUGGUGGGGUAAAGGCCUACCAAGGCGACGAUCCAUAGCUGGUCUGAGAGGAUGAUCAGCCACACUGGGACUGAGACACGGCCCAGACUCCUACGGGAGGCAGCAGAGGGGAAUAUUGGACAAUGGGCGCAAGCCUGAUCCAGCCAUGCCGCGUGAGUGAUGAAGGCCCUAGGGUUGUAAAGCUCUUUCACCGGUGAAGAUAAUGACGGUAACCGGAGAAGAAGCCCCGGCUAACUUCGUGCCAGCCGCCGCGGUAAAAC